CCUGGAGCGUGUCCCGAAACGCUCGCUUGCCGUUUUGAGCGAUCUGGUGGUUCGGCAUGUUGAACCCGGAACGAAAAUUAUGACCGAUCUCUGGAAAGGUUAUAAUGGGCUGGAGGAGCUUGGAUAUCCCCACGAAUGUGUCAACCACUCCAGAAAUUUCCUCAAUCCAGAUGAUAACAAUAUCAACACACAACGGAUUGAGAAUGUUUGGAGAUGGUUGAAGGCAUUUUUGAGAAAACAAAGCACUAAUAUUAAAAGCAACAUGGACAAAUAUUUUGCUGAGCAUAUCUUCCGGAAAUGCAAUGAUGAUGUGUUUGUCGCCUUGAUAGAUGCCUUGGGGAACCAAAUCGAACAUUUUUAAUAAUUAGUUUUCUUUUUUUUUAAGCAGGUACACUCAAAGCAGAUUCUCAUUUGGUCCAGAGCAGCUUAGCUGCGAAACGGACCCAAGGAGGAGGUUUUGAUGACACCUUGCUAAGGUGUAUUCUACAUUUCCCCUCCUUGUAAAAAAAAAGAAAUUAAAUUUUAAAACAAAUCCCUUUCUAAGAUUUUAAGGCAGCGCAGUUGAAAACAUCGAUUUUUUUAUCGGGGGUUUUCCCCUGCGGUAAGUAAUUCUAGAUCAUAGCGAUCGGCUUGCACGAGAUGAUAACCCAAUUUCCUUCGUUUCCUAACACUUUCUAUUUGCAUGCCUCCUGCCGCACGAGCUCGCCGACCUACGCGUCGAUCCGGUUUUAAGUGGCAAGCGGGAUAAGGGAUAGAUCUAGUACACCGCAUACCAUCCGACCGAUUUCCCCAAUCAGUAGCACACCUCACUAGUCGAGGGGGUUUCCCCUGCGGUAAGUAUUGAUACAUCAUAGCGAUCGGUUUGCAAGAGACAAUGUAGGCAGUUUAUUAAUAUUUUUUUUUAUUUUUCUUACUAUUUGCAUGCCUCCUGCCGCACGAGCUCGCCGACCUACGCGUCGAUCCGGAUUUAAGUGGCAGCGGGAAAAGGAAUCUACAACGCCAACCAUCCGACAGUGUUCACGAUAAGAAAGGAAACGUCUCUUAUCGUGGGGUUUCCCCUGCGAGAAUCGUUUUUCAGUACACAUGCCACAACACACUAUCGGUAUUCGUUUUCCUUCAUCUAACUGUAAGAAACAGUCACUGCGCAACAUCCUACGAUAGCCAAGCAUAUAGACGAAACAUUAAUGUUGUAUCAUGCUAACCCGUGACAGGCAAGUGCUCAGUAACUCACGCACGUCCUUCAACGCACACAUCAUGAAACAUCUGGUGAAUGAGAUUGCUGAGCAAAACACUCACCAAAUGGAAUAGAAUGGAUGAGUUUAUUUUAUGCAUCAUGUACCUCCCUUUUUGCCUUAUAAUGUGACCAGUGCCUUAUUUUUUUCUUUUGUUUUAUGUUAGCAUAGGAUUAGUAUUAGUAUUAGUUUGGUUUAAUUAGAUAUAAGAUUUUAUUGUGCUAAUAUACGCAUGGACUAUUGAAACAUAUAA